UACGGAGGGUGCAAGCGUUGUCCGGAUUUAUUGGGUUUAAAGGGUGCGUAGGCGGCUUGAUAAGUCCGUGGUGAAAGCCAACAGCUCAACUGUUGAACUGCCAUGGAUACUGUCAGGCUUGAGUACAGACGAGGUAGGCGGAAUGGAUCGUGUAGCGGUGAAAUGCAUAGAUACGAUCCAGAACUCCGAUUGCGAAGGCAGCUUACUAGGCUGUAACUGACGCUGAGGCACGAAAGCGUGGGGAGCGAACAGG
rnacentral:rRNA from 1 species